rnacentral:rRNA from 1 species
GGAGCUUGCUCCCUGAAGUCAGCGGCGGACGGGUGAGUACACGUGGGUGACCUGGCUGUAGGACUGGGAUAACUCCGAGGAGACCGAGGGCUAAUACCGGAUAGUUCUUUUCCUCGGAUGAGGAAAAGUGGAAAGGCGGCUUCGGCUGCCACUUACAGAUGGACCCGCGCGCGCACUAGCUAGUUGGUGAGGUAACGGCUCACCAAGGCGACGAUGCGGAGCCGACCUGAGAGGGUGAUCGGCCACACUGGGACUGAGACACGGCCCACACUCCGACGGGAGGCAGCAGUAGGGAAUCUUCGGCAAUGGACGAGAGUCUGACGGAGCAACGCCGCGGGAGUGAUGAAGGUUUUCGGAUCGUAAAGCUCUGUUGUUAGGGAAGAACAAGUGCCGUUCGAAUAGGGCGGCACCUUGACGGUGCCUAACCAGAAAGCCACGGGUAACUACAUGCCAGCAGCCGCGGUAAUACGUAUGUGGCAAGCGUUGUCCGGAAUUAUUGGGCGUAAAGCGCGCGCAGGCGGUCUCUUAAGUCUGAUGUGAAAGCCCACGGCUCAGCCGUGGAGGGGCAUUGGAAA